GGAGAGAUGGCCGAGUGGCUUAAGGCGGCGGUCUUGAAAACCGUUGUAGGAGUAAUCCUACCGGGGGUUCGAAUCCCUCUCUCUCCGCCA
rnacentral:tRNA from 1 species